rnacentral:ncRNA from 3 species
CAGGCAGUGUAGUUAGCUGAUUG